rnacentral:sRNA from 1 species
GUCAGGCCGAUUGAUUGAAGUUAUCAGGAGUAUUGUUGUGAUUGGUGUUCAGCAAACUUGGCAUCUGCUAUUAUCGCCGCCAAUUGUUGAAAACUAUUCGCAACUAGUGCUACAGCGAAGCAAAAGGCCAUGAUCAGACAACGCACCCUGAAGAACAUCAUUCGCGCCACCGGCGUCGGCUUGCAUUCGGGAGAGAAGGUUU